ACGAACGCUGGCGGUAUGCUUAACACAUGCAAGUCGAACGAACGAAAUCUAGCUUGCUAGACUAGUUAGUGGCAAACGGGUGAGUAACGCGUGGGAAUCUACCCAGUAGUACGGAAUAACAGUUGGAAACGACUGCUAAUACCGUAUGGUAUCGAGGGAUUAAAGAUUUAUCGCUACUGGAUGAGCCCGCGUCAGAUUAGGUAGUUGGUGGGGUAAUGGCCUACCAAGCCCGAGAUCUGUAGCUGGUCUGAGAGGAUGAUCAGCCACACUGGAACUGAGACACGGUCCAGACUCCUACGGGAGGCAGCAGUGAGGAAUAUUGGACAAUGGGCGAAAGCCUGAUCCAGCAAUACCGCGUGAGUGAAGAAGGCCUUAGGGUUGUAAAGCUCUUUCAGCAGGAAAAAUAAUGAUGGUACCUGCAGAAGAAGUUCCGGCUAACUCCGU
rnacentral:rRNA from 1 species